rnacentral:rRNA from 1 species
UGGGGAAUCUUGGACAAUGGGCGCAAGCCUGAUCCAGCCAUGCCGCGUGGAUGAUGAAGGCCUUAGGGUUGUAAAAUCCUUUCGUUGGGGACGAUAAUGACGGUACCCAAAGAAGAAGCUCCGGCUAACUUCGUGCCAGCAGCCGCGGUAAUACGAAGGGGGCUAGCGUUGUUCGGAUUUACUGGGCGUAAAGCGCGUGUAGGCGGACUUGUAAGUUGGGGGUGAAAUCCCGAGGCUCAACCUCGGAACUGCCUCCAAAACUCAAAUCUGGACCUAAGUAGAGGCAAGUGGAAUUGCGAGUGUAGAGGUGAAAUUCGUAGAUAUUCGCAGGAACACCAGUGGCGAAGGCGACUUGCUGGACUUAUGGUGACGCUGAGACGCGAAAGCGUGGGGAGCAAACAGGAUUAGAUACCCCAGUAGUCCCUGAGCGGGCUGGCAAGGCGCAU